AAGGAAAUAUUGUUUAUUAAGAAGCUGCUAACUAUCUUUAUUAAUGGUUAAAUUCCAUUUUUUCCUUA
rnacentral:tRNA from 1 species